GACGAACGCUGGCGGCGUGCCUAACACAUGCAAGUCGAACGGAGUUACUAAGGUGCUUGCACCUUAGUAACUUAGUGGCGGACGGGUGAGUAACGCGUGAGUAACCUGCCUGUAAGUGGGGAAUAACACACCGAAAGGUGUGCUAAUACCGCAUAAUAUAUUUUCUUCGCAUGGAGGAGAUAUCAAAGAUUUAUCGCUUACAGAUGGACUCGCGUCCGAUUAGUUAGUUGGUGAGGUAAUGGCUCACCAAGACCGCGAUCGGUAGCCGGACUGAGAGGUUGAUCGGCCACAUUGGGACUGAGACACGGCCCAGACUCCUACGGGAGGCAGCAGUGGGGGAUAUUGCGCAAUGGGGGAAACCCUGACGCAGCAACGCCGCGUGAAGGAUGAAGGUCUUCGGAUUGUAAACUUCUUUGAUCGGGGAAGAAUUUUUGACGGUACCCGAAAAACAAGCCACGGCUAACUACGUGCCAGCAGCCGCAGUAAAAC
rnacentral:rRNA from 1 species